UAUUUAACGUUGAGAAGGAUUAGUAGUUAUCGUUAAGCGUUUAGAGAGCGUGUGGUUAGUGCGAACACGUCGUUUAACAUAAUGAACUCACCUUUGAGUUUUCUAUUGAACUAAUCGUAGAUAGAAACGUCUGCCGCGUUAAGGCCAGAGAGUUGUCCAAUAUAGAUUGGACAGAACUUAGGUGGCAUCGCGGUCAAUUCGUCCUAUAG
rnacentral:ncRNA from 1 species